rnacentral:rRNA from 1 species
UACGGUAGGGCGCAAGCGUUUAUCCGGAAUUAUUGGGCGUAAAGAGCUCGUAGGCGGUUUGUCGCGUCUGCCGUGAAAGUCCGGGGCUCAACUCCGGAUACUGCGGUGGGUACGGGCAGACUAGAGUGAUGUAGGGGAGACUGGAAUUCCUGGUGUAGCGGUGAAAUGCGCAGAUAUCAGGAGGAACACCGAUGGCGAAGGCAGGUCUCUGGGCAUUAACUGACGCUGAGGAGCGAAAGCAUGGGGAGCGAA